AUGCAAAGAAUAAAUAUAGAUGAUAACAACAUGCAAGAUAAAGAAGAUGUAUUAAUUGUUAAAAGAUGUAGAGAACAAAGUACUAAUUGAAGUAUCCAAUUAAUGACAUUAUAAGGCUAAACAGUUGAUAUCCAGAUCCACAUUGCUAACAAAUGUUUUCCCAGAUGACAAAUACUGUAAUUGAUCUUUGCUUUAUAUAUUUAAGUAUUCAAACAGAAGAAAUAUUUGUAUGUUUUUAUGAAAUUAAACAAUAUACAAUUUGGUAUAGGAACAAAGAGGCUUUCAAAAUAAUGAGGGAAUAUAUAUUCAAUGUACUGGACAAGUGGGGUUAAUUUCUGCUACAAUAUUAUUAAAUUAAUUGGCAAUCAUAAAAGAUUAAACUUAUAUAAAAAUGAAUGAUAAUUUUAUUAAUGGUAACAACACAGCAGAUUUGGAAGCUAAAGAAGCCUCAGAAUGCCAUACAGAAGUAGUGCUUCUAUAGUGUUAAUACAAAAGCCUUACUUAGAAGAUAUAAGGAAAAAAAAGAACAUGCUGGAUGUUAGGAAUAUUUUGUGGCACCUAAAGGGGGACAAAGAAAGACAUUCAAGACAUCUAAUGUACACCUUGGGGAUAAAUCAUUCUAUUGUACAGUAAAAUUUUACCUUUCCAGAUGGGUGGUUUUAAGUUCAAAUUAAAAACUGAGAUAUAAAAUAACAAAUUAAAAUUAAAGAUAAAAAAAAUGGGUAUUAUUCUCCAUAUUUGAGAAAUGAUGGUCUCCAUAUCUGAAUUCAAUACUGGUUAAAUUUCAGUUCGACAGGUAAAGUUUGUGCCGAGAGUAAUGAUAAAAAAAAUAAUAAUGCUAGAAGAAGUAAUCCCUAGAUUUGAAAUACUAUUAGGAAUCAUUUUAUAUAAUGGAUCAGCAUUCAUUAAAAAAAAAAAAAAAAAAAAAAAAAAAAGUAAUACUGCAACAGUAAAGAAUAAAGGAAAGACUAAGACCAUCCUUAAUCAUAAAAAGUAAACCAUCCCUUCAACGUCAAACUCAGCAAAAAAUGUGAAAGCAUGAAACUGAACUGACUGGAUGCUUUGUCUCUUGCAAUAACGAGUGAAAGACUGCAAACUAACACUGCAUGGAAUGCUUAUUGGUCGACCAAUGCCAAUACCAAUGUCUGCGCAAUACUAUAUAACAAAAAUUCAUCCCCAAAAAGGACAUCCUCUGGAACGACUGCAGAUGGAGCUUUUGGAACAAUUACAAAUAAAGAUGAGAUCUUAUGUGAUAAAACUAACUGUAUGCAUAAGCUAUUUGUGUGCAGGAAAAAAGAAAAGGAGCCUGAUGAGGAGAUGGAGAUAAAAUGCCAUAUUAUGCCAUGGGAUCUAGUGUAUCUGAGGGUCUUCAGGAGAGAGUGACAUAAAACAAGGACCAGGGAGAGCAGCUCUAACAGCAGGCCAGGGGGAAGGAGCACAUCUGAUGUCAUCUGAGCCAUUGCACAGAGUUCCUAAAAUACCAGUCGGAGAAGAGGACAACAAAAACACGAUACUGAAGAGGAGAGCUGGGGAGAAAAGGAGAACUUAAACACAAUAAUGAAGAGGAGAGCUGAGGAAAAGAAAAUAAUAAAAGACUUGAUACAGAAGACAACAACAGAAAAAUUAAAAGCAAUUCAAGCCUACAAAGAGAUAAAAGAACGAAGAAAUGACCACUCAGGGCAUAUCAAGCAACAACAACACAAGUUAAGAAAAAUGUGUAAAUGAGAAGAGACUUUCAGGAGCAACAACCAAUGAGUGCAAAGCAGUGGAGUUCACAAGCAAUACACAGGGACAAAGUUGCUGGUAAUGUGUAAAGGACACACAAGGAAAACGUCAAGGAAUUAGCCAUGAAAAUUGAAAAAUAAAGCUAAUAACCAGUUUGACAAUUAUCAGCAACAUAUGGUAAAUUCACACGACUACAGUCAAUAAUCAAACUUCUCUUCAAUUAACUUUUCACCUAUCAGCAAGGAUCAGUAACAUUUCAGCGAGGACAAGUAACACCAGUGAGAAUUUAUUCUACAAUAAUCUCCGCAGAACCAAAAUUUAGAUAAAAUACUGAAGAUACCAAAACAAAAAGGAGACAAGGACAUCAAUAGAAGAAAAAGGACGUCAACGGAAGGAAAAAAAAUAUGUUGGACAUUUUAUGGGAAACAAAAAAAAAAACCAUUAUGAAUGAAUAGUACAAAUGGGUAACUUUCAAAGCUAAGAGAAAUUGGUAUGAACAAUUGCUUAUUAUGCUCUGAAUUAUGAAAGGUAAUAAUAAUCAAAAGUCAACAUGAUAUUAUAAAGGUGUUCAAUUUAACAAAUUGACAAAUUCUGGUUUAAAUAUCAAUUUGAUUGGGCAUAUUUUGGUAAAUAGUCUCAAUUUUGGAAAGUUAAUAAAAGCAUUAAAAUAGAAAAAAGGCAGAAUAGGAAAAAAUAUUUAAAGGGAAUAUUCUAUAACAUAGAACUUGAACAAAUCAAAUAUAAAAUUCCAAAAGCUAUUAUAAAUCCUUAAUAAUUUUGGCUUUAGGUAUGGAAAGGGUGGACAAUGCUAGUAUACAGUAAAAAGAAUGUGGGAAUCAGAUCAUAGCAGUGGACAUAUGAAGAUCAAACAGUAAUGUUAGCAGAAUUCUUUUGGUUUAAUUUUGAUUUGAUGGGAAAUGAUAACUUAUGGUGGUUUUGCAAUUAGAGAAGAAAUAUAUAUGUACAAGACUAAAGUUAAUUUAAGAAAUCAUCAUGAUUAUAUUGAAGUAUAUUGAACAAAAUACUGAAAAAACAAAUAAUAAAACUAAAAUAGUUUAUCCCUAAAUUGGUUUGGUAUUACCAUAACAUAUUAUGUUACAAUUUAAGCAAGAGAUGAGAUAAAAUCAUGGUUAGAAUAAAUAUUGAUUUAAUCUAGAAUUACUAAAUUAUAUCUACUAUAAUCAACAAAGGUAAAUUUAACUAAUUGAUGUUUUAACAAUUUUAGAAAAACAAUGAGAUACUACAAAGGGGUAUAGAUUUAUUGUAUGGAGAUUAAUGUUAUGCUAAAAAUACAACAUAGAUAUUCAUUGAAGCUAUCAAUAAGCUUAAGAGUUUAGGGAAGAAACUGCAACAAAUACAGGAAGAAAAAAUCUUAAUGUGGAAUUGGUGUGAUUUAAAAUUAGGAAAAUGGGUGAUUGGUUUGUCAAAUUAUCAAAGAUAUAUUUUGGUAUGUCAAAUGAUUCAUAGGUUAAAGGAUGAAUAUUAUCAAAGGUAUAAGGUAAAUGAUGCAAAUUAUCAGAGGUUAAGGAUUUGCAAGUUUAAUUGGAUGAAUUGUUAUUUUACUGUGUACUUCCUAUAUUGAAACAAAUGUUAAUGUUGAAAUAUCAAGAUGAAAAGUUACUUCAUAUAAGAAAUUACAAAGUGCAUCAAAAAUGGGUUUUGCAAAAGUUUGAAAAUGGUAAUACUACAUCAGAAAAAGAUAAUAAGAAUUGAAAAGGUAUUUGACUAAUUUACAUUCUUAUGAUGAAUGUUUUUAUGAGUUCUGAUUUUACAGCAACAAUGACAUAAUGAAGUAUAUUCCAUGAUCAUAAAGGUUUGUUAAAUUAUGGAGCAGGUUCUUUUACUUCUCCAAGAGAAGAUGUUUGUUCCACACUCCACCAAAGUGCGGCAGCAUGAUUUAGUCAUUGGUAAAGGGAAAGAUGGCUUAGUUGGGCCAUUAAUUAGCUUGACUUAAUUGAACUGGAUUAUGAAGUUGCACUUUGGGUGAGACUUGUGAAAGUCUCAAAGGGUGGAAUGAAGAAGAUUUUUUAAUUCAGAACUAUAUUUUUAAUUCAGAACUAUAUCUUUGGUGAACAUGGUAUUCAGAUUCAAAUGUGUUUUGCAAGAAUGUAUGUCUCAUGCUUGUAAGCUGAAGACUAGCAGUCUUAAAGACUGCAAUGUAUGCAGAGUUUAAAAUAUGGUAACUGAGAGCAGAGCUAAAAAUGCAUAGGCUGACAUUUAAGGAAUGAAGUCACAACACCUGUCAAACAUAAAAACAUGCUAAAAACAACUACAUGGGAGGGGUUUCAACUUUUAGAGAACUGUAUAUUAGGUUGCAUUCUGAAAAAGACUCUUUAGUUGCCUGGCCACCAACUCGGCCUUAUUGUUGUAUGCAAUAAAGUCAUCUUUUGGCAAUGGAA